CCCCAUGUACAGCUGAUCUCACAUCAGUGGACAGCAAAAUCGCGGCUAUAAUUGGGGAGGUCAGCGUGUGUGGUAUUGUGUCGGAAAAGGAGGGAGACACUGACGUGACUGAAACCACAGAGGAGCAAGUCCUUCCGGAGUCUGAAGCUGUAAAUGAACAGGAGGUUCAGGGUGAGGGGUUCUCAGAUGCAGAUGCACAGCGUCCGGCUCAAAGCAGUGCCCCUUCUGCGUCUGGCACGUCCAAAAGUGGUCGGGUACUCACUGACGCAGUCCUGCAGUUACAGCGAGAGACAAUAAACGCUGUCAACGGGGUUGCAGAUGAGCUACGGCAGAUGAGAGAAGUGAUGCAAGAAAUUGCACAAUCAUUAAAAGAUGCAGUUAAAACAUGAA